rnacentral:rRNA from 1 species
CAAGAAAUAACAAUACGGGGCUUAAUGUCUUGUAAUUGGAAUGAUGGGAAUUUAAACCUCUUCCAGAGUAUCAAUUGGAGGGCAAGUCUGGUGCCAGCAGCCGCGGUAAUUCCAGCUCCAAUAGCGUAUAUUAAAAUUGUUGCAGUUAAAAAGCUCGUAGUUGAAUUUCUGCUGCAUUACAUAUCUCUUGUUUGAGUUUGUUUUUGUGGCUUAUUUCGGUUUGAUUUUUUCUUUCCGGAUGAUUACUUUGAGAAAAUUAGAGUGCUCAAAGCAGGCUUUUGCCUUGAAUAGUUUAGCAUGGAAUAAUAAAGUAGGACUUUGGUUCUAUUUUGUUGGUUUUAGGUACCAAAGUAAUGGUUAAUAGGAACAGUUGGGGGCAUU